CCGGAAUGGAGAGAGGAGGCGGGGGCUGAGCGUUGGCUGCCGGAGACCAGCUGAGGAGAUUUUAGAACACAAACAUAGAUACAUGUGGAUAGCAGCCAAUACAGAGAGAGGGAGAGAGAAAAAGGAGGGAUCAGAAGCUAUAUUUGUAACUUUUGAUUAGUGAACUACAGAAGGAAGCCUAACACUGCAGGACCAUGACCUUCACAUCUACUUUAGUGGCCCCUCUGGGUCAGAGAUGGAUGGUUUGUACAAGUUUUCUAUGUAUAUUAAAAAUGUUAUAGAAAUACAGGGGGGA
rnacentral:lncRNA from 1 species